rnacentral:misc_RNA from 1 species
UUACGCCCUCUACGAUAUGCCACGGCUAAUAUAGAAGUUACAUUACCGACGAGUAACUGAAUCGAUUCUGGUGCGACUACGGUAUAUUGUGUCAUAUGUUCUAUAAUAUCGACCAUUCAGAGGUUUUAUUACGCCCUCUAGAAUAUAGGAAUGAUGUUUAGGGACAAAAAUCAAACGAUCUCGUCGAGUGUAGUAAUUAUCCCGUUUAAACAAGAUCAAAGAAACUUCCAAUCAUCGAAUUCAUUUAUUUGAACGUGAACUGCUAUUAUAUGAAUGAGAAAUCGUUCAAAUAAACGGAAUUCCCUAAAAUGUCGCAUAUUCAAUCCAAACAUGGAAGUUGAUGCAGUUAGAAAUAAAUACAAGAUACUGCGGUCAUCGAUGAAGGACAGAAUAGACGUGAUAAUGAAAUAUUUCUGCAUGUCCAGCGAUCUAAAGGAAAUAAAGAUACCGAAGUUAGUAGU